AAAAAGGAGGUUAGGAAGGCUAGAAGGAGGUUAGGAAGGAUAGAAGGAGGUUAGGAAGGAUAGAAGGAUGAUAAAGAGGAGGUUAGGAAGGAUAGAAGGAGGUUAGGAAGGAUAGAAGGAGGUUAGGAAGGACAGAAGGAGGUUAGGAAGGAUGAAGAGGAGGUUAGGAAGGAUAGAAGGAGGUUAGGAAGGACAGAAGGAGGUUAGGAAGGAUGAAGAGGAGGAUAGAAGGAGGUUAGGAA